rnacentral:lncRNA from 1 species
AAAUGAAAUGUAAACUGUCUUCCUGUGGUUCAAAACCACACCUGCCCCAUGUCUGUUAGUUAAGCGUGGGAGGUCGGCACAUCCUCUAGGGCCACUCACUGGUGCGAGCCUCUUCUUGCAAACUGUGCCACAGAUCAGGCUGGCAUCCACAACAGCCCGCCUGCCCUUGGAUCCUCUUCUCACCCAGUGUUGCUCUGAUUUUCUGGUUGUUUAUUUGAAUGUUUCUGGGAUGCUGUAUCUCCCUCAUGGUCCCUGCCCUCCCCGCCCCCACUGGCUUUGCCUCCCCCAGUCCCCGGGGUCCCGGCACAACUCUGUCUUCCAAGUUGUGAUGGGGAAAUCGAGUAGAGAACUCAGACUGAGCUGUGUCCUGCAGACCUGAUCUUCACCCCGAGUGAUUCCAGUGUUGUCUACGUGGCCGUGGGGGCUCCAGGUAUUUGCCUGCCACGCAAAUCAUGACGGGGGCCACCUGCCUUUUGACCCUGAGUCUGCAGCUGCUGUCCCCUCUCCCCAACCUUGCUCCGAGGUCACAGUUGUUUUCCCCAGGCUCUCGGAAGGAAAGUCCCGCUGAUGAAGUGAAGGGACUGUGGCUCAUAGCAGAAAGAAAACCCCUAAAUGACGCUUCUUGAUGCAAACACGUUCCAUGUGGCAUGGCUCACCAUGCCAGGAUUCCAUCCCAGAAUGCUAAACAAGCCCUGGCCUCGAGAUAAACAGUGUUGCAGCAGCAACAGCUCACCAAAUAGCAGACGCGGCCUAACUGAACCCCAUUCCACUAGCCACGACUACAGCUUUGAUUUAGACAAGAGACUGAGUGACUUUCUCCUGAUAAAAAGACCCCCAACCAUGGACUGGCUCCAGCCACUUUACCAGAGGCUGUGCCCUUGAGUGCUUUGGUGUCCUGAGACCUUUUGAUGUAUAUAGCCCAACUGUAACACAUUUAAGUGUUAGGUUUCCAUCCCAAAGUGAACUUGGUUUAUAUGUAACAUGCAUGUUUGUCCAUCAUGCAUGUCCAGGACCCCAUUCCUGAGUAUUCAUAGCUCCUCCUGUAAUGCGUUGAAUAUGUGUGCUUGAAUCCAUUCAGCAUGGAUCCCUGUGCCACACUCCCCUCCCUCACAGUUCUGCCUAGAAGGCUCUGGGGUGGGCUACGCUUCCCAGCCUAUAGGGAUGGCCACCUUGCAGCCCAUAAACCUUUGAGGAAAAUUUCCUUUUUAAAUAUGUAGGUUGUGUGACUUUUAGUUAAUGAAGUUCUUGAAAUCUCUCUUUCAUUUUUUAAUAAACAUGCUAUUCCACG